GGAUUGAAGGCUGGAAGUACAGGGGCAAGAAAUACCUUUGAAAAUACUCCAGUGUCCAAACUGCUCACUGGUGUUGCUGCCUUGUGAGCCAGGGCACGAGGCUUUGUUGAGGUCACUACUUUUCAUUCCCUCCAAGAUGGACAAGAUGUUUGUUUUGUGCACAGAAUGGAGCAGUGUCUUGAACGUGCUACACAAGCCCCCUAACAGCCAAGCGAAUCCAGCAGCUCUACAGACAUCCUUUCACUAAGCAGUUAUUUCUCCUCCGAUGUUCUGAUCGCUGUGGGCAGCCUCCAAACACUUUUUGAAAAAGCUGGAGAGAAAGGCAAGCUUGAAAAGGGGAAUGCAGGAUAGAGGCAAAGGGAGAGAAGCAGGCAAGCGACUCCACAAUGAUACUCAUUCCUUUAUUGUCAACUGUGUUCAUCUCAACAGGGCUGGGGCCUGCAGGCUGCUGGCAGCACCAAGCUAAGGUGCAUUUCCACUCAACAGAAAGGCCUCCAUCCUAAACCAAGUGGGCAGAGGUUAAUGCUUUAUAUAUAUUUAUAUAUUUAUAUAUUACAUAUGUUCUAGAUAUACAUAUGUCCCAUAUGUAUAGAGUGACAAGAAUGGGCCACUUUGUGUAACUUUAAUUAAAGGCCAUAGCAACAGACAUAGAAAUUUGAUCCUAAUUAAG
rnacentral:lncRNA from 1 species